GACGAACGCUGGCGGCGUGCUUAACACAUGCAAGUCGAACGGUAAGGCCCUUCGGGGUACACGAGUGGCGAACGGGUGAGUAACACGUGGGUGAUCCGCCCUGCACUUCGGGAUAAGCCUGGGAAACUGGGUCUAAUACCGGGUAGGACCACUGCCUGCAUGGGUGGUGGUGGAAAGCUUUUGCGGUGUGGGAUGGGCCCGCGGCCUAUCAGCUUGUUGGUGGGGUGAUGGCCUACCAAGGCGACGACGGGUAGCCGGCCUGAGAGGGUGACCGGCCACACUGGGACUGAGAUACGGCCCAGACUCCUACGGGAGGCAGCAGUGGGGAAUAUUGCACAAUGGGCGCAAGCCUGAUGCAGCGACGCCGCGUGAGGGAUGACGGCCUUCGGGUUGUAAACCUCUUUCAGCACCGACGAAGCGCAAGUGACGGUAGGUGCAGAAGAAGGACCGGCCAACUACGUGCCAGCAGCCGCCGUAA
rnacentral:rRNA from 1 species